rnacentral:rRNA from 1 species
GUAGGGAAUUUUCCACAAUGGGCGCAAGCCUGAUGGAGCAACGCCGCGUGAGGGAUGACGGUCUUCGGAUUGUAAACCUCUUUGGAGUGGGAAGAACGAUUUCCGUGUUAACAGCGCGGGAAAGUGACGGUACCACUAGAACAAGACACGGCUAACUCUGUGCCAGCAGCCGCGGUAAUACAGAGGUGUCAAACGUUGUCCGGAAUUACUGGGCGUAAAGGGCGCGUAGGCGGCCUUAUAAGUCAGAUGUGAAAGCUCCGGGCUCAACCCGGGAAUUGCAUCUGAUACUGUAAGGCUUGAGUUCGGUAGAGGAGGGCGGAAUUCCAGGUGUAGCGGUGAAAUGCGUAGAUAUCUGGAGGAACACCCGUGGCGAAGGCGGCUCUCUGGUCCGAAACUGACGCUGAGGUGCGAAAGCUAGGGUAGCAAACAGGAUUAGAAACCCCUGUAGUCC